AGUGAACGCUGGCGGUAGGCCUAACACAUGCAAGUCGAACGGCAGCACAGUAAGAGCUUGCUCUUACGGGUGGCGAGUGGCGGACGGGUGAGGAAUACAUCGGAAUCUACUUUUUCGUGGGGGAUAACGUAGGGAAACUUACGCUAAUACCGCAUACGACCUACGGGUGAAAGCAGGGGAUCUUCGCACCUUGCGCGAUUGAAUGAGCCGCUGUGGGAUUAGCUAGUUGGCGGGGUAAAGGCCCACCAAGGCGACGAUCCGUAGCUGGUCUGAGAGGAUGAUCAGCCACACUGGAACUGAGACACGGUCCAGACGCCUACGGGAGGCAGCAGUGGGGAAUAUUGGACAAUGGGCGCAAGCAUGAUACAGCCAUACCGCGUGGGUGAAGAAGGCCUUCGGGUUGUAAAGCCCUUUUGUUGGGAAAGAAAAGCAGCAGGUUAAUACCCCGCUGUUCUGACGGUACCCAAAGAAUAAGCACCGGCUAACUUCGUG
rnacentral:rRNA from 1 species